rnacentral:rRNA from 1 species
UUCGGAGGUACUCGAGUGGCGAACGGGUGAGUAACACGUGGGUAAUCUGCCCUGCACUUCGGGAUAAGCCUGGGAAACUGGGUCUAAUACCGGAUAGGACCUUUUGGCGCAUGCCUUUUGGUGGAAAGCUUUUGCGGUGUGGGAUGGGCCCGCGGCCUAUCAGCUUGUUGGUGGGGUGACGGCCUACCAAGGCGACGACGGGUAGCCGGCCUGAGAGGGUGUCCGGCCACACUGGGACUGAGAUACGGCCCAGACUCCUACGGGAGGCAGCAGUGGGGAAUAUUGCACAAUGGGCGCAAGCCUGAUGCAGCGACGCCGCGUGGGGGAUGACGGCCUUCGGGUUGUAAACCUCUUUCAGCAGGGACGAAGCGCAAGUGACGGUACCUGCAGAAGAAGCACCGGCCAACUACGUGCCAGCAGCCGCGGUAAUACGUAGGGUGCGAGCGUUGUCCGGAAUUACUGGGCGUAAAGAGCUCGUAGGUGGUUUGUCGCGUUGUUCGUGAAAACCGGGGGCUUAACCCUCGGCGUGCGGGCGAUACGGGCAGACUGGAGUACUGCAGGGGAGACUGGAAUUCCUGGUGUAGCGGUGGAAUGCGCAGAUAUCAGGAGGAACACCGGUGGCGAAGGCGGGUCUCUGGGCAGUAACUGACGCUGAGGAGCGAAAGCGUGGGGAGCGAACAGGAUUAGAUACCCUGGUAGUCCACGCCGUAAACGGUGGGUACUAGGUGUGGGUUUCCUUCCUUGGAAUCCGUGCCGUAGCUAACGCAUUAAGUACCCCGCCUGGGGAGUACGGCCGCAAGGCUAAAACUCAAAGGAAUUGACGGGGGCCCGCACAAGCGGCGGAGCAUGUGGAUUAAUUCGAUGCAACGCGAAGAACCUUACCUGGGUUUGACAUGCACAGGACGCCGGCAGAGAUGUCGGUUCCCUUGUGGCCUGUGUGCAGGUGGUGCAUGGCUGUCGUCAGCUCGUGUCGUGAGAUGUUGGGUUAAGUCCCGCAACGAGCGCAACCCUUGUCUCAUGUUGCCAGCGGGUAAUGCCGGGGACUCGUGAGAGACUGCCGGGGUCAACUCGGAAGGAAGGUGGGGAUGACGUCAAGUCAUCAUGCCCCUUAUGUCCAGGGCUUCACACAUGCUACAAUGGCCGGUACAAAGGGCUGCGAUGCCGUAAGGUUAAGCGAAUCCUUUUAAAGCCGGUCUCAGUUCGGAUCGGGGUCUGCAACUCGACCCCGUGAAGUCGGAGUCGCUAGUAAUCGCAGAUCAGCAACGCUGCGGUGAAUACGUUCCCGGGCCUUGUACACACCGCCCGUCACGUCAUGAAAGUCGGUAACACCCGAAGCCA